AUACGGCCACAUCUCGUUGAAACACCGGUUCCCGCAAGGUCACCGAAGUUAAGCAACGCCGAGAUUAGUCAGUACCUUGAUGGAUGAGCGUUUGGGAGUACCAGGUGCUGUAAG